GCGACUUCCACUGGCUGUAAGCCAUCAAAGCUUUGCAUGCGUGAGGCCGGGUUGAUGUUGACUUAAUCAAUCUCCCUGCUGGCGAGGACUUCCUACAGUUAAACACACAUGUCUGGUUAUCAAAGACUCAUGUAGGAUGGUCCCGAGCUCCAAACCAUGGAGGCAGUGGCCUCUUCUCUGUCUCUGUUGAAAAUGUUAAGCACGAAGGAAAGCAGCUGCAUCACCACAAACGCCAAGGAGAAGCACACGAAUGAAUCUGGGUUUCCAUUUUGAAGUUAUAGCUACU